GUGCUUGCUUCAGCAGGACAUACACUAAAAUUGGAAUGAUACAGAGAUUAGCGUGGUCUCUGUGUGAAGAUGGCAUGCAAAUUUGUGGUGUUUCAUAUUUUAAU